rnacentral:rRNA from 1 species
GACGAACGCUGGCGGCGUGCUUAACACAUGCAAGUCGAACGGAAAGGCCCUGCUUUUGUGGGGUGCUCGAGUGGCGAACGGGUGAGUAACACGUGAGUAACCUGCCCUUGACUUUGGGAUAACUUCAGGAAACUGGGGCUCAUACCGGAUAGGAGCUCCUGCUGCAUGGUGGGGGUUGGAAAGUUUCGGCGGUUGGGGAUGGACUCGCGGCUUAUCAGCUUGUUGGUGGGGUAGUGGCUUACCAAGGCUUUGACGGGUAGCCGGCCUGAGAGGGUGACCGGCCACAUUGGGACUGAGAGACGGCCCAGACUCCUACGGGAGGCAGCAGUGGGGAAUAUUGCACAAUGGGCGGAAGCCUGAUGCAGCAACGCCGCGUGCGGGAUGACGGCCUUCGGGUUGUAAACCGCUUUCGCCUGUGACGAAGCGUGAGUGACGGUAAUGGGUAAAGAAGCACCGGCUAACUACGUG